CCUACGGGAUGCAGCAGUGAGGAAUAUUGGUCAAUGGCCGAGAGGCUGAACCAGCCAAGUCGCGUGAGGGAAGACGGCCCUACGGGUUGUAAACCUCUUUUGUCGGGGAGCAAAGCGAACCACGUGUGGUUCAUUUAGACUACCCGAAGAAACAGCAUCGGCUAACUCCGUGCCAGCAGCCGCGGUAAUACGGAGGAUGCGAGCGUUAUCCGGAUUUCUUGGGUUUAAAGGGUGCGCAGGCGGAGGUGCAAGUCAGCGGUCAAAUUUCGGGGCUCAACCCCGUACUGCCGUUGAAACUGCAUCCCUUGAGUGCGCGAGAAGUAUGCGGAAUGCGUGGUGUAGCGGUGAAAUGCAUAGAUAGCACGCAGAACGCCGAUUGCGAAGGCAGCAUACCGGCGCGCAACGGACGCUCAUGCACGAAAGCGUGGGUAUCGAACAGGAUUAGAUACCCGGGUAGUC
rnacentral:rRNA from 1 species